AAGGAAUGCUAAUACCGAAUGAAGUGCAGGGGAGGCAUCUCCCCUGCAUGAAAGAUGGCCUCUUUUUAUGCUAUCACCUGUUGAUGGGUCUGCGUCUGAUUAGCUGGUAGGUGAGGUAACGGCUCACCUAGGCGACGAUCAGUAGCCGGUCUGAGAGGAUGAACGGCCACAUUGGGACUGAGACACGGCCCAGACUCCUACGGGAGGCAGCAGUGGGGAAUCUUCCGCAAUGGGCGCAAGCCUGACGGAGCAACGCCGCGUGAGUGAAGAAGGUCUUCGGAUCGUAAAGCUCUGUGAUGGGGACGAACGUGCC
rnacentral:rRNA from 1 species